GACAACGGAAGAGAAGAACACAAACAAAACAACAACUCUUCAUUUUUCGCAUUCCCCAUCUCAUAAGUUCUUUCAUACCAACGGAAACAAACCAGCAACAAAAGUCCUCUCCGUGCGUCGGAUUGAGAUUUUUAAGACCAACCGGAAGAAGGACACCUGCGAUGUUCGCAACUGCGACGGGAGCUGGAGGAGCAAUGGCGACACGCUGGGAGGACCAAUGUCCAGCAGUGACAAGCAGCUACCAGCAGCUACGCUAACGUCCCGCCCGUGUAUUCCCGUAAAAUAAGGCCUCCUCCUGGUGAAGGAGCUUAUAAUGAAAUCAUAUAACCGUAAGUGGUACAAGUGGAGUAAAUAAAGUUAAUAUUCAUAAAAUUUAGAAA